rnacentral:rRNA from 1 species
UAAGGAAUAUUGGUCAAUGGACGCAAGUCUGAACCAGCCAUGCCGCGUGAAGGAUGAAGGCCCUAUGGGUUGUAAACUUCUUUUGUAUGGGAAAAAACCCCUGAUCGUGAUCGGGGCUGAUGGUACCAUAAGAAUAAGGAUCGGCUAACUCCGUGCCAGCAGCCGCGGUAAUACGGAGGAUCCAAGCGUUAUCCGGAUUUAUUGGGUUUAAAGGGUGCGUAGGUGGGUUAUUAAGUCAGUGGUGAAAGCCUGCAGCUUAACUGCAGAAUUGCCAUUGAUACUGAUAGUCUUGAGUAUAGUUGAGGUGGGCGGAAUGUGUCAUGUAGCGGUGAAAUGCUUAGAUAUGACACAGAACACCGAUUGCGUAGGCAGCUCGCUAAACUAUAACUGACACUGAGGCACGAAAGCGUGGGGAGCAAACAG